rnacentral:rRNA from 1 species
CUGGAGGGCAAGUCUGGUGCCAGCAGCCGCGGUAAUUCCAGCUCCAAUAGCGUAUAUUAAAGUUGUUGCAGUUAAAAAGCUCGUAGUUGAAUUUCGGGGUCAGCAGGUUGGUCGUGCCUCUGGUACGCACUGGUUUCGCUGAUUCCUCCUUUCUGAAGAACUGUAAUGUCAUUAAUUUGGUGUUGCAGGGAAACAGGACUGUUACUUUGAAAAAAUUAGAGUGUUUAAAGCAAGCUAACGCUUGAAUACAUUAGCAUGGAAUAAUGAAAUAGGACGUUUGAUCCUAUUUUGUUGGUUUCUAGGAUUGACGUAAUGAUUAAUAGGGAUAGUUGGGGGCAUUAGUAUUCAAUUGUCAGAGGUGAAAUUCUUGGAUUUAUUGAAGACUAACUACUGCGAAAGCAUUUGCCAAGGAUGUUUUCAUUAAUCAAGAACGAAAGUUAGGGGAUCGAAGACGAUCAGAUACCGUCGUAGUCUUAACCAUAAACUAUGCCGACUAGGGAUCGGAUGAUGUUAAUUUUUUAAUGACUCAUUCGGCGCCUUACGGGGAAA